UUGAGACUGUUUGCUUUUUCCUCAGGGUGAAAAUGUCCCAGAGAAGUGAUGGUUAAUGGCCUGGUGGUGUCUGCUGGGGAUGGAGCCUGUCCUGUCCUGCAGGGCUGGGAGCUCAGGGCUGCUGGAUGACCCCAGGCUGCUGCAGUGUCCAACAGCAAAGUCCCCUGGCCAGUUCCCCCCUUGCAGGCGAGACUGGGUGUAUAUUGGAAACUGAGUCACAAGUAAAAGGAUGGCCAGGAGAUGGGCCAUGGCUGGACUCCAGGUGUUGAUCAUCAAGACUCCAGGUGUUGAUCAUCAAGACUCCAGGUGUUGACCAUCAGGACUCCAGUGUUGACCGUUGGGACUCCAGGUGUUGAUCAUCAGUGCUGAUCAUUGCAUAAAUGGCCCGAGAUGGAUCUCAUGGAAAUCCUCAGACAGAUCCAUGUGAAUGCAGCCUUCCCAGCCUUCCCGUAAAUCCCAUCAGGGAUUCACCUGCUCCGGACACUGAAUUGUUCCUCCUCAUCACCAAAAAAAGAAAAUCUUAUUAACCUAUGGACUCUGAAUAGAAGAAAAGACUGAUUGCUGAAAUCUUGGC